UACGUAGGUGGCAAGCGUUGUCCGGAAGUAUUGGGCGUAAAGGGCUCGCAGGCGGUUUCUUAAGUCUGAUGUGAAAGCCCCCGGCUCAACCGGGGAGGGUCAUUGGAAACUGGGAAACUUGAGUGCAGAAGAGGAGAGUGGAAUUCCACGUGUAGCGGUGAAAUGCGUAGAGAUGUGGAGGAACACCAGUGGCGAAGGCGACUCUCUGGUCUGUAACUGACGCUGAGGAGCGAAAGCGUGGGGAGCGAACAGG
rnacentral:rRNA from 1 species